UUCGUGAGCAUUUUUUGUGAGAGCAAUGACAAGUAAAGGAUAGCCAAGGAGUGAUGUACAGGAAUAUGAAGCGAGGCCAAUGUUGUGGUAUUUUCGUGAUACGCAAUAUAAGGACAAUUGCAAGAAGUAUGAUUUUUUGAUAUAAAUAAUCAGAGAAAAAUGACACAACAAAGGAGAAAAAAAAUAUUUAAGACAACAUACAAUCUGUGAAAACAGUUCAAAGUGGCACAGCGUUCAGCUAAGACUAAGCAUAGUAAGAAAACUCAAGACAUUGGUACUCAAUAUGAAGAACCGAUUUGUACCCACACUAACGAUGUAACACCUACACCCAGAGCAAAAAAUUAUGUACCGUCUUGCCAGCCAAAAGAUAGUGAUGUGAAUGUAUAUAGAGUGACGAGAAGUUCAGCUAAGACUCAUGGUAAGAAAAUGGAAGACAUCGGUAUACAAUAUGAAGAACCGAUUCGUACGUCCAUUAACGAUGAUACACCUACAACCUUAGCUAGAAAUGAUUUACCGUCUUGCCAGCGAAAGGACAGUGAUGUGAAUGUAUGUAGAGGCGUGUGGGACGCCUGGAGAGCCCACUGCUACUUGGUAUGACAUGAGCGUGCCAGGUCUGCGCGCUCUACGGGAGGUAACCGAGGGUCCAGUCUUGCCUCACUGUGACGGAUCUCAGCCGGGUCCUAGUGGCCUUCCACGUGGUGGCGUCCGUUACCGAUCAGCACCGCAGCGACCCUCACGAAACCCUGGGACUAAUACAGUGAAAUAACACUCCUUCAUCUAACAAUCUUUUAGAUCCAUGUUUUAUCAAUUUAACUCAAUGUAUAGUAAGUAAAGCAGUUGAAAAGUUUGUCAAAGGCUGCCCUAAAUAUCAUAAUCAUUAUGGUUAUUUAUACCUCCAAUGACAAACUAUCUUUUUUUAGAAACUAUAAAAAUUGUUAUUAUAUUGGUUUAUUCAAUUCUAUAAAAAUCAUGGUAGGUCAAAUAUUUAUAAAUCCUUCGAUGUAAAUGACCUUUUUAAGCAAUUAACAACGUUUUAUGUAAAAUAUUUUACUCAUUCAUCCCUAAAAUUCAAAUAUUCUCAUUGGUUUUCAAUAGAAUUAAUCCAUGCCUUGAAAUCUUAAAAAAAAAAAAAAAAAAAAAAAAAAGCAACUUGUAUUUUUUUACUUUUUUCACAUUACCAGAAACAAGUUAAAAUUCUCAAUAAGUGUGAAAAAAUUCACUAGACCCAAACGAUAAACAUAAAGAAUAAUCCUAAAAUUUUUGGAGUAAUGUCAAAAAAUUGAAAGAUGCCUUUUAUGAAAAACAAUCUCUCAAAGUGAAUGGUGUUGUAUCUCGUGAUCGUAUUAUGUUAGCCAAUGUUUUGCCAACGUGUAAGAGAAGUAAUACCCAAUAUUAGUUGGCCAUCACUUGUUAGGAAACCUGACGAACAAGGAGAACUAUCAGUUUAACAUAAGUGUUGGUAUCUUAUUUUUAAACCUUUGUAUUUAUUUGUACAGUAUUAUAAAAAUAAUUAUUUGUUUAUGAUAACCUUGGUUAAAAUAACUUAUAAAGAAUCUAAUUUAUACCACAAAUUAAAAAAAAAAAUUGUUUGUAUUUUUGCUACCGAGUAUAAAUGUAUGGGUUAUUUAGUACUUUUAAGUGCGUGUUUGUCAGCUUUAAUGUAAAAAUAGUUUAAAUAAAUGUAUAGUGUCAACCAGUUGAGGUCCCCGGCCUUAUGCGCUGGCACUCAAAAUCCACAGUAAAUAAAAUGAAAAGUCAAUAAUAUUGAAACUAAUAUAAAGUAGUAAAAGAUCAUUACAGUUUAAAAUUAUAAAAAAAUUUCAUUUAAAUUACACAUGCCAAAUAAAAACCCUAUAAUUGAUUGAAUACAAACACAAUCUUUGAAAUUGAUUAAAUGUUUACAUGGAUCCUGAAAUUGAUUUGAUUGUUUUCUUGAAACAACAGACCAAAAAUUGCUCUGUUUAUAGCUAAAAAUAUAACCUGUUUUGUCCUGCACAUUAACGUUACAUUAUUGAACAAAAACUUCACUUCAUUAUUGGGCAAAAUGUAAAACAACUUCUUAAUCAAUGAAGAGAAGUAUGCUUCUAAAAAAAUGCCAAAAGUGUUUCCAAUUAGAAUAAUAUGAUUUGAAAUUUAAUAAUUAUAGUAUCUAUGUACAUUGUAUAAUAACAAUACUUAACUCUACAUACAUUCACAUCACUAUCCUUUGGCUGGCAAGACGGUACAUAAUUUUUUGCUCUGGGUGUAGGUGUUACAUCAUUAGUGUAGGUACAAAUCGGUUCUUCAUAUUGAGUACCAAUGUCUUGAGUUUUCUUACUAUGCUUAGUCUUAGCUGAACGUUGUCUCACUGGACUCACAAAACAAAAUUUAUUUGUAAAUAUUUUAAGCUCAUAAACAGUAACAAGUUGUAUUUCUGACAGAAAAAGGCAAAUUUUCCUCGACAGUUAUAUCUGGCUGUAUGUGCUCUAGCUAUAUGGUGGCCUAUUUUUGUCAUGUACUCUUUUGUAAUCUGUAUUCUGGUGUAUUCUCAUAUUGGUAAUUCUUAUUCAGAGAUAACAUUGUAGUUAAAUAAUAAAUUAUUUAUGUUGUUUUAA